rnacentral:rRNA from 1 species
GACGAACGCUGGCGGCGUGCUUAACACAUGCAAGUCGAACGGAAAGGCCCUGCUUUUGUGGGGUGCUCGAGUGGCGAACGGGUGAGUAACACGUGAGUAACCUGCCCUUGACUUUGGGAUAACUUCAGGAAACUGGGGCUAAUACCGGAUAGGAGCUCCUGCUGCAUGGUGGGGGUUGGAAAGUUUCGGCGGUUGGGGAUGGACUCGCGGCUUAUCAGCUUGUUGGUGGGGUAGUGGCUUACCAAGGCUUUGACGGGUAGCCGGCCUGAGAGGGUGACCGGCCACAUUGGGACUGAGAUACGGCCCAGACUCCUACGGGAGGCAGCAGUGGGGAAUAUUGCACAAUGGGCGGAAGCCUGAUGCAGCAACGCCGCGUGCGGGAUGACGGCCUUCGGGUUGUAAACCGCUUUCGCCUGUGACGAAGCGUGAGUGACGGUAAUGGGUAAAGAAGCACCGGCUAACUACGUGCCAGCAGCCGCGGUGAUACGUAGGGUGCGAGCGUUGUCCGGAUUUAUUGGGCGUAAAGGGCUCGUAGGUGGUUGAUCGCGUCGGAAGUGUAAUCUUGGGGCUUAACCCUGAGCGUGCUUUCGAUACGGGUUGACUUGAGGAAGGUAGGGGAGAAUGGAAUUCCUGGUGGAGCGGUGGAGUGCGCAGAUAUCAGGAGGAACACCAGUGGCGAAGGCGGUUCUCUGGGCCUUUCCUGACGCUGAGGAGCGAAAGCGUGGGGAGCGAACAGGCUUAGAUACCCUGGUAGUCCACGCUGUAAACGGUGGGUACUAGGUGUGGGGUCCAUUCCACGGGUUCCGUGCCGUAGCUAACGCUUUAAGUACCCCGCCUGGGGAGUACGGCCGCAAGGCUAAAACUCAAAGGAAUUGACGGGGCCCCGCACAAGCGGCGGAGCAUGCGGAUUAAUUCGAUGCAACGCGUAGAACCUUACCUGGGUUUGACAUGGAUCGGGAGCGCUCAGAGAUGGGUGUGCCUCUUUUGGGGUCGGUUCACAGGUGGUGCAUGGCUGUCGUCAGCUCGUGUCGUGAGAUGUUGGGUUAAGUCCCGCAACGAGCGCAACCCUUGUUCACUGUUGCCAGCACGUUAUGGUGGGGACUCAGUGGAGACCGCCGGGGUCAACUCGGAGGAAGGUGGGGAUGACGUCAAGUCACCAUGCCCCUUAUGUCCAGGGCUUCACGCAUGCUACAAUGGCUGGUACAGAGAGUGGCGAGCCUGUGAGGGUGAGCGAAUCUCGGAAAGCCGGUCUCAGUUCGGAUUGGGGUCUGCAACUCGACCUCAUGAAGUCGGAGUCGCUAGUAAUCGCAGAUCAGCAACGCUGCGGUGAAUACGUUCCCGGG